rnacentral:rRNA from 1 species
UACGAAGGGGGCUAGCGUUGUUCGGAAUUACUGGGCGUAAAGCGCACGUAGGCGGAUCUUUAAGUCAGGGGUGAAAUCCCAAAGGCUCAACCUUGGAACUGCCUUCGAUACUGGAAGACUCGAGUCCGGGAGAGGUGAGUGGAACUGCGAGUGUAGAGGUGAAAUUCGUAGAUAUUCGCAAGAACACCAGUGGCGAAGGCGGACUC